UGCGCCAGCGAUGGCCGCUUGCGAGGUGCUGCAUGGUUGUCGUCAGCUCCGUGCCGUGAGGUGUCGGGUUAAGUCCCAUAACGAGCGCAACCCCUACUGCUAGUUGCCAGCGGGUCAUGCCGGGGACUCUAGCGGAACUGCCAGCGUAAGCUGCGAGGAAGGUGGGGAUGACGUCAAAUCAGCACGGCCCUUACGUCCAGGGCUACACACGUGUUACAAUGGCCGGCACAACGGGAAGCGAGUUCGCGAGGACGAGCGGAUCCCUUAAAGCCGGUCGCAGUUCGGAUUGAAGUCUGCAACUCGACUUCAUGAAGCUGGAAUCGCUAGUAAUCGUGGAUCAGCCAAGCCGCGGUGAAUACGUUCCCGGGCCUU
rnacentral:rRNA from 1 species